rnacentral:rRNA from 1 species
CGAUUUCUUCGGCGAUCGGGAUCAAAGAAGGCCUCUGCUUGCAAGCUUUCACUGAAGGAUGAGUCCGCGUACCAUUAGCUAGUUGGCAGGGUAAUGGCCUACCAAGGUUAUGAUGGUUAGCUGGUCUGAGAGGAUGAUCAGCCACACUGGAACUGAAACACGGUCCAGACUCCUACGGGAGGCAGCAGUGAGGAAUAUUGCGCAAUGGGGGCAACCCUGACGCAGCAACGCCGCGUGAGUGAGGAAGGUUUUCGGAUUGUAAAGCUCUGUCGAGCGGAAAGAAGUGCAUGGUGGUUAAUAUCCAUCAUGCUUGACGGUACCGCUAAAGGAAGCACCGGCUAACUCCGUGCCAGCAGCCGCGGUAAUACGGGGGGUGCAAGCGUUGUUCGGAAUCAUUGGGCGUAAAGCGCGUGUAGGCGGCUGGACAAGUCAGAUGUGAAAGCCCUGGGCUUAACCCAAGAAGUGCAUUUGAAACUGUUCAGCUAGAGUAAGGGAGAGGAAAGUGGAAUUCCUGGUGUAGAGGUGAAAUUCGUAGAUAUCAGGAGGAACACCGGUGGCGAAGGCGACUUUCUGGCCCUAUACUGACGCUGAGACGCGAAAGCGUGGGUAGCAAACAGGAUUAGAUACCCUGGUAGUCCACGCUGUAAACGAUGUUCACUAGGUGUUGGGGGUAUUGACCCUUCCAGUGCCGCAGCUAACGCAUUAAGUGAACCGCCUGGGGAGUACGGUCGCAAGAUUAAAACUCAAAGGAAUUGACGG